rnacentral:rRNA from 1 species
AUAGUCAGACAUUCAGCGAUAAGGUUGUGUGUCAAGAGGGAAACAGCCCAGAUUGUAUGUUAAGGCCCUUAAAUAGUAGGUAAGUGAUUAAAGGCAUGAAGUUUCAUAGACGUCUAAAAUGUAGGCUUAGAAGCAGCCAUCAUAUAUUGAAAGCGUAAAAAAUCAUUGGAUAAAGAUUGUGGAGUGCCCAUAAUGUGCGGGGCUUAACCUACUUGCCGAAACACCAAAUUUCUUAAUUGAAAUGGUAGCGGAGUUUUCUGUAAAGCGAAUUAAUCGAAUAAAAGAAAUAAACCGAAAGGUAGACUCAGAAAUAAGAAUGUUGGUAUGAGUAACGUUAAACUUUUUGUCGCCUAGAACCUAAGGUUUCCGACGUUCAGGUAUUCUGCGGACGGGUUAUGCGGUAGUUUAGGUCUACUCUAUGAAAAUAGGGGCUGAUAUUGUCCUUAACAAUAAGGAAUGCAUUUUGCUGGGUCGUAUGACUAUAACUAUAAAGCUUAACGAGAGUGGCUUAUUGGGUAAGAUCAUACCUAGAAAUCCUCAAAAUGUGAAUAUGUACCGUACUGAAAACCGACACUGGUAGGUAAGUGGAGAACACUGUGGCGCUAUGGAAGAAGUAUAUUGAAGGAACUAGGCAAAAUGACCCCGUAACUUCGGGAUAAGGGGGUAACUGCUUGCCUCUGUAAAGAGGGUAGUAGUUGAACGUGAAAAUGGAGGGGGGCGACUGUUUACUAAAAACACAGGACUCUGCUAACUUGUAAGAGGAUGUAUUGGGUCCGAGGCCUGCCCGGUGCCAGCAAGCUAACAGGAGGUGUUAACGCACUGAAUUUAACCCCUGGCAAACGGCGGCUGUAACUAUAACGGUCCUAAGGUAGCGAAAUUCCUUGUCGGGUAAGUUCCGACGUGCAUGAAUGGCAUAACGACUUUCCUGCUGUCUCCAGUAUAUGUUCAGUGAAAUUGAAUUUUUUGUGAAGAUGCGAAAUAGUGACGGCCAGACGGAAAGACCCCAUGCACCUUUACUGUGAUAAUACAUCAUCCCAUACGGCUUUUUGUGUAGAAUAGGUAGUAAGUUUUGUCUUUUUGGCGCUAGCUGGGAAGUUUACUGAAAUGUGUAAUACUACCCUGAAUGCUGUAUGGGAUUUAUCCAACCCCUUAAGAGGGGGGAAACCGUGUAUUGGAGACAGUUUGACUGGGGCGGUCGCCUCCAAAAGCGUAUCGGGGGUGUGCAAAAGGUAAACUCAAAACGGAUAUCUCUGUUUGUAGAGCAUAAUAGUAAAUGUUUGCUUGACUGCGUAACGGAUACGUUUAGCAGGGAGACUCAAUGUCUCGGCUAUAGUGACCCGAUAGCUCUGUGUGGAAAGGCUAUCGCUUAACAAAUAAAAGGUACGCUGGGGAUAACAGGCUGAUGCCUCUUGAGAGUUCUUAUCGACGGAGUCGUUUGGCACCUCGAUGUCGGCUCAUCACAUCCUGGAGCUGAAGAAGGUUCCAAGGGUUCGGCUGUUCGCCGAUUAAAGUGGUACGUGAGCUGGGUUUAAAACGUUGUAAAACAGUUUGGUCCCUAUCUACCGUCACAUUAAAAAACCUAACGGGGGCGUUUAUUCUAGUACGAAAGGACCGGAGAGAGUUAACCUAUUGUUAUACGGCUGUCGAAUACGGCAAAGUCGCGACGCUAUGUUAAGCAGGCUAUAAUCAUUGAAUGUAUCUAAAUGAGAAAAGCCAACCCUGCGGUUUAUAAUAAAAUAGCUAGUGUGGUUAUAGAGGAUAACCUUAAUAGACCCGGAUCUAAUUCUAUAAUAGGUGUAGUAUGUGCGAAAGCUGGAAAGCCGGAGAUGG